AUUGAACGCUGGCGGCAGGCCUAACACAUGCAAGUCGAGCGGAGCGGCGGACGGGUGAGUAAUGCCUAGGAAUCUGCCUGGAAGUGGGGGAUAACGUCCGGAAACGGGCGCUAAUACCGCAUACUAUCAGAUCAGCCUAGGUCGGAUUAGCUAGUUGGGGGGGUAAUGGCCCACCAAGGCGACGAUCCGUAACUGGUCUGAGAGGAUGAUCAGUCACACUGGAACUGAGACACGGUCCAGACUCCUACGGGAGGAAGCCGUGGGGAAUUGUGGACAAUGUGCGUAAGCCGGAUGAAGCCAUGCCGCGUGUGUGAAGAAGGUCUUCGGAUUGUAAAGCACUUUAAGUUGGGAGGCGUUACCAACAGAAUAAGCACCGGCUAACUUCGUGCCAGCCGCCGCGGUAAUAC
rnacentral:rRNA from 1 species